AUACGUAGGGGGCAAGCGUUAUCCGGAUUUACUGGGUGUAAAGGGAGCGUAGACGGAAGGCCAAGUCUGAUGUGAAAGCCCGCGGCUCCACUGCGGGACUGCAUUGGAAACUGGUCAUCUGGAGUGCAGGAGGGGUAAGCGGAAUUCCUAGUGUAGCGGUGAAAUGCGUAGAUAUUAGGAGGAACACCGGUGGCGAAGGCGGCUUACUGGACUGUAACUGAUGUUGAGGCUCGAAAGCGUGGGGAGCAAACAGGAUUAGAUCCCCUGGUAGUCCACGCCGUAAACGAUGAAUACUAGGUGUCGGGUUUCUAUAGAGAUUCGGUGCCGCAGCAAACGCAAUAAGUAUUCCACCUGGGGAGUACGUUCGCAAGAAUGAAACUCAAAUGAAUUGACGGGG
rnacentral:rRNA from 1 species